rnacentral:antisense_RNA from 1 species
AGUCAUCAACCUCUUAACAUAUGAGAAGUACUUUCUAAGGUAAAUAAAUUCCAAAGAUCUUUCCUUCAGUAGUAGUGGUUCUUCUGGCGAUAGAAAAUGAUUAUAGGAAAACUAUAAAUUCUAUAAAGCACUUAAGUAAAUUUUUACGUUCUUACAUACACUUAAAAAUUUGUUUGACCAGGCUUGGUGGCUCACGCCUAUAAUCCCAGCACUUUGGAGGCCAAGGCGGGCAGAUCACUUGAGGUCAGGAGUUCAAGACAAGCCUGGCCAACAUGGUGAAACCCUGUCUCUACUAAAAAUACAAAAAUUAGCCGGGUGUGUAGAGACGGGGUUUCGCCAUGUUGGC